UACGGAGGGGGCUAGCGUUGUUCGGAAUUACUGGGCGUAAAGCGCACGUAGGCGGAUCUUUAAGUCAGAGGUGAAAUCCCAAGGCUCAACCUUGGAACUGCCUUUGAUACUGGGGAUCUCGAGUCCGGAAGAGGUGAGUGGAACUGCGAGUGUAGAGGUGAAAUUCGUAGAUAUUCGCAAGAACACCAGUGGCGAAGGCGGCUCACUGGUCCGGUACUGACGCUGAGGUGCGAAAGCGUGGGGAGCAAACAGG
rnacentral:rRNA from 1 species